AGCCAGUCUGCCUCUCUUGCAUCUUUCGGGAUUUGUCUUCUGUCUUAACAGUCUCUUACAAAAAUCCACUUUACUUCCAUAGUCAAUGGCUUCCCAUGACCAUCAUCAUCAUGAUCAUCACCCAACAAAGAUGAAGCGAUGGAGAUUCAGCAACUAAAUCAUGGGGACGGUGUACCAUAGCCACGAUGGACUCGCACCACACUCGCAUGAACCCAUUUACUCUCCUGGCUUCUUCAGUAGAAGAACUCCUCCUCUUCUCUCAAGAAACUAAAACGAGAGAGCCUUCACUGUUGAUAUUGGCGGUCCUGUUGGUACUGGGAAAAUAGCUUUGAUGCGGGCUUUAUGUAAAUUCUUACGGGACAAACUGUGUCAGAGCGACAACAACAUGCUUCGUCUUAGACAGAUUUAUUGAUGGUGACAAAUGAUAUAUUCACAAAAGAGGAUGGUGAGUUCCUGAUGAAGAAUGGUGCCCUGCCAGAGGAAAGGAUACAUGCUGUGGAAACACAGGAGGCUGUCCACAUGCUGCAAUUCGUGAAGACAUCAGCAUACAUCUUGGCCUUCUGGAGGAACUUACUAACUUGUUCAAAGAAGACAUUCUUCUUUGUGAAUCUGGGGGAGGUAUUCUAUUAAUGAAUACAUUUCCUCGAUAUGCAUUUUCUACUGAAGUGAUCUUGUUGAGCUCUAUUAAACUGAUGCUAAUUGAAUGAUGGAGUUGGCUUAUCCUGAUUUA